rnacentral:misc_RNA from 1 species
UUUCCGUAGGUGAACCUGCGGAAGGAUCAUCACUGAUUAUCCGUGUCCUUAAAUUCACCCUGUUGCACUGUUUUUGAAGGUGCGGAUUGCUCCGCGCCUUUAUUUAUCUUUUCUACGCCACGCGAACGCGAACAUCUGAACGUUUAUAAUGAAGCACAACUUUUAACAACGGAUCUCUUGGUUCUC